GGAUGGCGCCGCGGGUGUAGCGGCUCUCUGCGCAGGCCGAGUGGGCCCAGAGAAGCGAGGAACUCCGCAGCUCGUCGACACGUCUCGUCUCCUGUCCCAAUUCAGGGCUUGGUGAGGUGACUCGCGGUCGCGGGUGACUCGCCGGCAGGACACUGCCUGGAACGCCUGGAGCGCCUCCCACUGCAGACGUCUGUCCGCCUCCAGCCGCUCUCCUCUGACGGGUCCUGCCUCAGUUGGCGGAAUGGCGGCCACGGGAGCCAAUGCAGAGAAAGCUGAAAGUCACAAUUUGUGUGUGUUGGUGGAAGCCCCUCCCGGAUGAAAGCCUUCAUCAGGUGCGUUGGUGCAGAGCUGGGCCUUGACUGCCCAGGUAGAGACUAUCCCAACAUCUGUGCGGGAACUGACCGCUAUGCCAUGUAUAAAGUAGGACCGGUGCUGUCUGUCAGUGGAUUUUGAAGCACCUUAGGAGAAAAGACACAGGAAAAUCAAAGGGGGGAAGAGAGAGGCGCAGUACAAAACUCAGAUAAGUGUCCUUAAAUUAGCUUAAAAUGUCCCUAUCCUCAACAGGGACAUUUUUUUUUUGUUUAAAAAACAAAGAUGGUUGGCCGGGCGCGGUGGCUCACACCUGUAAUCCCAGCACAUUGGGAGGCCGAGGCGGGCGGAUCACAAGAUCGGGAGAUCGAGACCAUCCUGGCCAACAUGGUGAAACCCCGUCUCUACUAAAAUACAAAAGAUUAGCUGGGCGUGGUGGUGCACGUCUGUAGUCCCAGCUGCUGGUGAGGCUGAGGCAGGAGAAUCGCUUGAACCCGGGAGGCGGAGGUUGCAGUGAGCCAACAUCGCGCCACUGCACUUCAGCCUGGCAACAGAGCGAGACUCCAUCUCAACAACAACAACAACAAACAAACAAACAAAAACCCCCACAAACAUGGCAAAGAAAGAAUGAGAUUUAAUGAGAAAGCAAAAGCUAACAAAUUGUUGAAUUGUAAGCCAAAGUCUGUUAGGCAGAUUUGUUUUAAAUACGUGGUCUUGCUCUCUGGGGUUCCAACUCUGUGCCAUUCUUUCUGCUAAAAACUGGGUUCUAGUGAUUCCUGCUCCCACCGAGGUGUUCAGAGCUCAGGGAAGAAGCCUGCAUGUGCCCUAGAGAAAGUUGAGCUUUGCCGCUGCUGGCCAGGCCUGUGUGUACUUGUUCCAGGCUGUCUAGGGCCUGGACUAUCUAGGAUUUAUAGCAAUUCUAGAAUUUAAGUGUCCUGACCUUGAAAGGGGACUUGCUUUAGACCCAAAUAUUUUGAAUAUGUUAUCUUGUCUCUUUUCUUUUUGUUAUAUAGAGAGAUUGAUGCAUAAAAUCUGUGUUUGUAUGACUGUAAUUCCAAGUUUAGCGAAAUUGUCCCUAGGACAACACACCAACGGCCAUGAGCUGUCUCGGUCCUGCAAGCUUAGUCUCCGAUGCUGCCCACCUGACACAGCUGUGCAUAGCAUGCUGGCCUCUGCCAGGAACUCUAGUGAAUGGUUCUUGAGUUCUUGCUCUGGAGUGAUUUUUAAAACAAUGAUCAGAUAAUUCUGGAGGGAGUAGUAUAGAUUUUGAAUUUUCCUCAAUUGCUCUGUAAAAAUGGAAAGAGCAACUAGGGAGCAAAACCAAAAACCACUGGACACAGUUGAUAAUAAAAGGUGAUGUGCUAUCCUCACAAACCCCAAAGUAUGAAUGGGUGGAGACAAAAAGCCUCAGGAUCUGGUUGUGUUGGCAGCUGCUCAGGGGGAAGCUCAAGGCGAUGGACAGACCUGAGAACAAGAGUCCCAGGCACUCCUAGGAAGGUGCAGGGGGACAUGGUGAAGAUGGCAGCUGACACUGGAGGGGGCCUGUGCGUCCCAAUGUGAGUGAUGCUGGAAUUCCAAGGGGCUUGACCACUCCAGGCCCUGUGGGUUCACCAAGGCAUCAGCCAAGCUCUCCUCUAGCUCCAGCCCCAGUGCUGGGAGAAGCUGCUGAAAUGAGACUCUGAAUUGCCCAGAACAGCCGCAGGAGUAGCAAUGGAAAGAGGAGUUCAGAUACAUGUGGGGAGCGAAGCAAAGGUCUUUGCAAUCGGCCAUGUUUUUUAAUGUUUCAUGAAAACAACUGACUUGGGAGCUCUGGAAAAGAUCUGACUUCUUGUUCCCUCCCACAUGUUUAGGAAAACCAAUUUUGCAUUAAAAUAAGUAUCAGAAAUGGAUCAUAGUUAUCUUAGUCCCUGCAGGUUGAUAGACAAGAUGCCAUUGACUGAGUGGCUUAUAAACAAUAGGAAUUUAUCGCGUAGUCUGGAGGCUGCGAAGUCCAAGGUCAAGGAGUCAGCAAACUUGGUGUCUGGUGAGGGCUAACUUUCGGAUUCAUAGAGCUCUGUUUUCUCCCUGUGUGCUCACAUGGCAGAAGGGGCAGGCAGCUCUCCGGGGUCCCUCUUAUAAGGGCACUAAUCCCACUCAUGCAGGCUCCACCCUCAUGACCUAAUCACCUCCCAAAGGCCCUGCUGCCUGAAACCAUCACAUUUAGGGUUAGGAUUUCAGCCUAUGAAUUUUGAGGGGGAAACCAGCAUUCAGUCCAGGUCCAUAACAAUGGUCAAAUCCCAUCUAAAAUUAUUAUAACACAAAGAAUAAGGGGCAGAGUAAUGUCCCUACAAACAGGAAACUACUCCAGGAAGGCACGCCCAGAACAUAGAAACUGGACCCUAAUAAUGCAUCAAUCUGAGAGGAAGGCCAGGUAGGUCAGGAGUUGGUCAUAGCUCACCUGGGUUUAGGGUGUGGGACUUCAUUAUACUGUUCUAGUCUGCCUUUUGCUGGUUUACUUUUCAAGUAUUUGCCUGAAAUCUUAAAUAUUAACAAGGUAUGAAACAGGGAUCAAUGAAACACAUCAUGGUAUAUGGUUCAGUGACAGACAACAGUGGGAAAUCGCCGUGAAUGGAAGCAAGAAAUAUGGGACAAAGUACUUGAAGGUCUGGAGCCCGGCACUGUGGUCAUAACAGAGCAGGCAGUGGAUACCUGCUUCAAGGCAGAGUUUGAGCAGAUUGUCCUGGGGAAGCGGGUCAUCCGGAAAACGGACCUUAACAAGAAGCUGGUGCAGGAGCUGUUGCUGUGUUCUGCAGAGCUGAGCGAGUUCACCACAGUGGUGGGGAACACCAUGUGCACCUUGGACUUCUAUGAAG
rnacentral:lncRNA from 1 species